rnacentral:lncRNA from 1 species
UGCACAGCACAGGAGCUAGAGCAGGAAGUCCUAGAUUCAAGUCUCAACUCUGAAAUAUACUUGCUAUUUAUAGAUCUUGAGUAAUUCACUUAAUCUCAAAAUCCUUUGGUAGUCGGACUCUAUAACUCCAGAAAGUAUCUGAGGCCAGAUUUGAAUCCAGGACCUUCUAUCUCCAGACCUACAGCUCUAUCCACUGAGCCACCUAGCUUCCCCUUAAUCUUUAAUAAAAUAAA